rnacentral:lncRNA from 1 species
GACUUAGAAAAAUACCACACAUUUCACUCAUCUUUCUCUCAUCUUGCCGUGAACCAAUCCCCUUCAUUCCAUUCUUCACAAAAUUUCCAUUUCUUCACCAAAUCAUCUCAUUCCAAGCUAGAGAAAUCCAUAGAACUUGCAAGAAGAAUCUCACUUAGGUAACUUGAUCUCUCUCCUUCUCAAUAGCUGUCCAAACUCUUAGAGUUUGAUGAUUUUGGUUGGUUUUUGUUCAUGAGAAAUUUUAGAACUUGUUGGAAAAUUAAUUGUGAUCCAUAGGUUUUGCUCUUGAGUGUUUAACUAGGAUUGUUUAAGCUUAGCUUGUGUUGAUUUCCAUAGUGAUUAAAGUUUUCACAAAAUUUUUGGUUAGGUUUUGAAAAAAGUGAUUUGAAAUGAUCAUAACUUUGAAAAAUUGUUUUGUGCUUUUCUUUUUGGUGUUGUUUAUGAGCUUAGUAGAGAAAUGGAUGUUAGAUUAUGGCUUUAAUUUUGUGAAACAAGAAAAAAUAAUUUUGAGUGUGUUCUUGAGGAUUUUAUGAACAUAUUUUUAGAAACUUUUGUUUUGAUGCUCAAAGUGGUUUGGUUGAUCAAUUCCAUGGCCAUGUGAACUAAUAGAUGCUAGCUAGGACUUUGCAUUGGAAAAAUUUUGAGUGUGGUCCUUAUUUUGAAAACUUUUGGUCAUGAGAAAUUUCGGAAAAAGUGGGGUAGAGGUUUCAAAGGUUGUUAGGGCUUUGAGGGAGGCACAAUGGUGGCCUAGGGCGAAUUACCAUGCAAAAAGUUUUGGGAAAAACAUGGUUUUAGUGUUGUAUGUGUGUUAAAGAACCUAAAAUUGAAUUUUCGAAAUUUGAGGCUUUGCCCGGAAAAUUUUUUGGGGCUUGGAUUAGUAACUCGAGGGUAUUAUGGGAUAUUACCAU